rnacentral:lncRNA from 1 species
AAGGAUUCAUUCAUACAAAGGUUUAUUACAUCAUUCUAUGAAAGAAAAUAGCAAAAAUACAACUUUUGAUCAAGGUUGACUUCGGUUAAUACUUGACUUUUUUGGUCAACUUUGACCAAAGUCAACAUGAUUUUUCCAAGAUUCCGAAGUCUUCAUUACUUCAACAUUUCACCAUCUCAUCCUCCAUUCAAUUUGAUUUUCAAGCAAGCUUUCCUUGUAGCCAUGGAAGUAUGUCUAAAUGGUCAUGGUUGGAAGCAUACACCAAGUUCAAGUGACCUACAAAAUACUGCACCAAGCCAAAUGCCAAGUAUCAUGUAGGAUACAUACCAUAAUUUUCCAUGUGCAUUAGCAUAUUGCAAGUUCAGGACACCAUUAUCUUGCUGCAAAUUCAGAACAACAUGGCCUAGCAUUCAAAACUUGUUGCUCUACAAACUAUUACGACAAACUGCAAUUGGCAUUGAAGCAGUUCGACAUCCUACAAUGUUCAGGACAACAGCAAAUCUGCAUCAUGGAAAUGCAAUUCAUCAAAUCAUCAUGCCAAGACACCACAUACAACUAUCCAUUUCUUUUUUUCUACUGACUUUCAUAAUUAACCUAAUAGGUAAUCAUUUGCAUAUGUAAGUUCAACUGAUUUUCAUGACAAUUCUUCAAUAUGAUUUCAUCAUUUUUAGCACUUGAAGUCAUAACUAAUACAAUAUUCAAAAGAUCUUGGCCCGACCUUUCAUUCAGCAGUAGCAUGUCCAAGUCUUUCUAAUAAUCAAACCAGUUCUCCUAACUUCACAACAACUCAAGAAUCAGCAGGGCAAGGUCCAUUUGAGCAGUCAUCAAAAUACUUUCACAUCAGUAGGAGUUGUGCAACUGUUAGCAAUCUGAAGCAUUAAACACAAACCCUAUAGUAUCCAAGACCAAAAGUAUCUCUCGGCAAAUCCCAACAUUGCACUCAAUAAGUCCCAACAGAGUUUGAAUUAGAAAGGAAACAUUCAUCACACUAUAGGCCUGUAAUGAGUUACCCAUGUUUGAGUUGUACUAACCCUAACCAUAAUUAUGACCAUUCUAACAUGUUUACCUGCAACUUCCAAUCACACCAAAAUAAAACCUGCAAUCUGCAACAAAUCAAUUUAAAACUUGCAUCUCAAAAAUAACUAACCAAACCUGCAUUUAAACAUUUACCAGUUUAACAGGUCAUCUUCGAUUCACAAUAGUCACACCAUAUAACUCUAAUUCAAUAUAUUACCUGUUAUUAACCAGACACAUUUGAUCACUGACAAAACUAAAAACCUAACUAAUUAACUGACUAAGACAUUUCACAGCUAACUUCUUAAUUUGGAUUUGCAUUUAGCCUAAAUUACAUGUGGAUUUGUAACAGAAUGGGGAGAAGGUUCUAUAAAAGCUCAUCACAAUUCAGUUGGAAAAAGGAUUUUCACUAUCAAAACACUCACAAAAUCGACCUCUGAACUCUCUCUCUCUCUCU